rnacentral:rRNA from 1 species
AAAUUGAAGAGUUUGAUCAUGGCUCAGAUUGAACGCUGGCGGCAGGCCUAACACAUGCAAGUCGAACGGUAACAGGAAACAGCUUGCUGUUUCGCUGACGAGUGGCGGACGGGUGAGUAAUGUCUGGGAAACUGCCUGAUGGAGGGGGAUAACUACUGGAAACGGUAGCUAAUACCGCAUAACGUCGCAAGACCAAAGAGGGGGACCCUCGGGCCUCUUGCCAUCGGAUGUGCCCAGAUGGGAUUAGCUUGUUGGUGGGGUAACGGCUCACCAAGGCGACGAUCCCUAGCUGGUCUGAGAGGAUGACCAGCCACACUGGAACUGAGACACGGUCCAGACUCCUACGGGAGGCAGCAGUGGGGAAUAUUGCACAAUGGGCGCAAGCCUGAUGCAGCCAUGCCGCGUGUAUGAAGAAGGC